GUCCACGCCGUAAACGAUGCUAACUCGUUUUUGGGCUUUCGGGUUCAGAGACUAAGCGAAAGUGAUAAGUUAGCCACCUGGGGAGUACGUUCGCAAGAAUGAAACUCAAAGGAAUUGACGGGGGCCCGCACAAGCGGUGGAUUAUGUGGUUUAAUUCGAUGAUACGCGAGGAACCUUACCAAGGCUUAAAUGGGAAUUGAUCGGUUUAGAAAUAGACUUUCCUUCGGGCAAUUUUCAAGGUGCUGCAUGGUUGUCGU
rnacentral:rRNA from 1 species